UCAUCAUCAGGCUGUGAGUCAGAGAAGAAGAGAAGCUCCAUCAUGUCAGGUUCAACACCAACCAUGUUGCCUGUAGCUCUGCUGCUGCUGCUGGCUGCUGGAUCCUGUGUGAAGUGUGAACAGUUGACACAGCCAGCCUCUGUGACUGUGCAGCCAGGUCAGAGUCUGACCAUCACCUGUCAGGUCUCGUAUUCUGUUAGCAGACAGCCUGCAGGGAAAGGACUGGAGUGGAUUGGAAUGAGAGUUGGAUCUACCACACACUACAAAGAUUCACUGAGGAACCAGUUCAGUAUCGACUUAGACGCCUCCGGAAAUACAACGACUCUAAACGGACAGAAUAUGCAGCCUGCAGACACUGCAGUGUAUUACUGUGCCAGAGACCAAGAGUGA